CCUACGGAAGGAGCAGUGGGGAAUCUUGCGCAAUGUUCGCAAGGGUGACGCAGCGACCCCGCGUGCAGGACGAAGGCCUUCGGGUUGUAAACUCCUUUUCUGGGGGACGAAUAAGGUCAGUAGGAAAUGGCUGACCGAUGACGGUACCCCAGGAACCAGCGCCGGCGAACUUCGUGCCAGCAGCCGCGGUAAUACGUGGGCGACAAGCGUUAUCCGGAAUUACUGGGCGUCUAGGGUCGUAGGCGGGCGGUCAAGAUAGUCAGGAAGGUCCUUGGCUAAACUGUUGAUGGUCGACAGAUACUGAUCGGCUAGAGGGACGUACAGUUAAGCGGAACUCUGGGAGAAGUGAUGAAAUGCGUAGAGACCGAAAGGUAUACCGAUGGGGAGGACAGCUUACUGGGCGUCUAGUGACGCUGAAGUGCUAAAGACACGGGGAGCAACGGGGAUUAGGAAACCCCGGUAAUCCGGG
rnacentral:rRNA from 1 species